GUUUCAGGGCGGGGUGAAAUUCCUCACCGGCGGUAUAGUCCGCGAGUCCGCCGUUAGAUAAGGCGGACAGAUCAGGUGAAAUUCCUGGACCGACGGUAUAGUCCGGAUGGGAGAAA
rnacentral:ncRNA from 1 species